CGGUUCGGCGUAGUGGCGGACGGGUGAGUAACGCGUAGGUAUCUAUCCUUGGGUGGGGGAUAACCGUGGGAAACUGCGGCUAAUACCGCAUGACACCUGUGGGUCAAAGGCGCAAGUCGCCUGGGGAGGAGCCUGCGUACGAUUAGCUAGUUGGUGGGGUAAAGGCCUACCAAGGCUACGAUCGUUAGCUGGUCUGAGAGGAUGAUCAGCCACAUUGGGACUGAGACACGGCCCAA
rnacentral:rRNA from 1 species